UACGUAGGGUGCAAGCGUUAAUCGGAAUUACUGGGCGUAAAGCGUGCGCAGGCGGCUUUGUAAGUCUGACGUGAAAUCCCCGGGCUUAACCUGGGAAUUGCGUUGGAGACUGCAAGGCUAGAAUCUGGCAGAGGGGGGUAGAAUUCCACGUUUAGCAGUGAAAUGCGUAGAGAUGUGGAGGAACACCGAUGGCGAAGGCAGCCCCCUGGGUCAAGAUUGACGCUCAUGCACGAAAGCGUGGGGAGCAAACAGG
rnacentral:rRNA from 1 species